AUUGAACGCUGGCGGCAGGCCUAACACAUGCAAGUCGAACGAGUGGCGGACGGGUGAGUAAUGUCUGGGAAACUGCCCGAUGGAGGGGGCUAACUACUGGAAACGGUAGCUACUACCGCAUACCAUCGGAUGUGCCCAGAUGGGAUUAGCUAGUAGGUGGGGUAACGGCUCACCUAGGCGACGAUCCCUAGCUGGUCUGAGAGGAUGACCAGCCACACUGGAACUGAGACACGGUCCAGACUCCUACGGGAGGCAGCAGUGGGGAAUAUUGGACAAUGGGCGCAAGCCUGAUGCAGCCAUGCCGCGUGUAUGAAGAAGGCCUUCGGGUUGUAAAGCACUUUCAGCGAGGAGGCGUUACUAGCAGAAGAAGCACCGGCUAACUACGUGCCAGCCGCCGCGGUAAUAC
rnacentral:rRNA from 1 species